AGUGAACGCUGGCGGUAGGCCUAACACAUGCAAGUCGAACGGCAGCACAGUAAGAGCUUGCUCUUACGGGUGGCGAGUGGCGGACGGGUGAGGAAUACAUCGGAAUCUACUUUUUCGUGGGGGAUAACGUAGGGAAACUUACGCUAAUACCGCAUACGACCUACGGGUGAAAGCAGGGGAUCUUCGGACCUUGCGCGAUUGAAUGAGCCGAUGUCGGAUUAGCUAGUUGGCGGGGUAAAGGCCCACCAAGGCGACGAUCCGUAGCUGGUCUGAGAGGAUGAACAGCCAAACUGGAAGUGGAAAAGGGUCCAGCCCCCUAGGGGGGGCAGGAGGGGGGAAUAUUGGAAAAUGGGGGCAAGCCUGAUCCAGCCAAACCGGGUGGGGGAAGAAGGCCUGGGGGUUGUAAAGCCCUUUUGUGGGGAAAAAAAAGCAGCAGGUUAAAACCCCGCUGUUCUGACGGUACCAAAAAAAUAAGCACCGGCUAACUGCGU
rnacentral:rRNA from 1 species